CUUAUUUUUUUUUAAAACAUCUUAGCUCUGCCUUUCUCCAACCAUGAAAAUGGCAUCAGCAGUUGCACAAUCAACCAUUCCUUUCAGUAUGGGUAGGAAGCAUGUUGCACGUAGAUGAUGGCGUCGUAUAGAUAAUCCUUCUUCAAACCAAGCAGAUUGAGAUUCUGGGCUAUGACGAGUUUUGGAGUUAAAGUGAAUAAAACGAGAACUUUGAAGUCUAAGUAGAAGUUUGAGAAUUAAAGUCAGGGUUGAGUUCGGGAUCAAAAACCGAGUAUACAUGUAAAAAAAAUAAAAGAAAUCGCUCAAGGCCAUAAAAUUGGCCUACCACGGCGUGGUUGAUGAUGUGAGCGUGCCUUAUUAAAAAAAGCAAUUGAAUUUAAUUUUGCCAACUUUCUGAAUUGUUGCCUUAAUACGUCAUUUUGACGUAGUGCAUCAUUGAGAUGCUUGGGCUAAAGGUUAGGCAGCCACCAAGAAAACAAGCCUCUCAAGAAUCUCACAUGUGCUACGCGCAGUGCUUCGCCCGGUGCGGCACCCUUGUGUAAUUUUGCCAAUUAUUUCAGUUCGGCUCAGAGAAGAUAUUUUGAUUCAGGUUCGUACAUACUCGGUAUAAAUUCGCGGUAAAUAUAUUUUUUUUAAAGGGAUAAUCGAUCUAGGGAGCUACUGAAGAGCAUUGGAGGUUUCAAAACAAAUAAAUUCAUCAUUCCUCCACCAAUUCAAUAUGCAAGUUUGGAUUGUAAAGUUGGAGUAAUGUUUCUAUAUUCUUAAAAUUAUUUGUGAUGAAUUUCUUCAUUAUUAUGGAGUAGUUUACCUUAGGGUUUGACAUGAUUUGAUGAC